CCUGGCUGGUACCACCUCCUUCCGUGCGACAAGCCCAGCCAUCCCAAAGGCGUGCAGAGGCGUGGGGUUGCUCUCUGCUGCUUUCUCCACCUGCCUCCACCAAAUGCAGUGACUUUUGAACCCCACCUUGCCAUGGGGGUGAUGUUUGCCCUGUGUUGCUAACAGGUUUUCCGUUUCUGGGGUCUCCACCACACCAGGGGUGAGGUACCCAUGCAGAGAUCUUCUCUGGGCCCUGGCCCUCUGCUUUCCUAGCAGUCCUAAAGCAGCUCCCAUGGAAAGGCCGUGUCUAGUGCAUGUUUCGAUUAUGAGAGGCAUAACAUGGCUAGUCAGCCCAGCCUUGCCUGGUGGGUUCAUGUUAGAGGCCCUGCUUCAGCUGGUCAGCCUGCUCAGUCCCUUGUCCGUUCCCCUGUGGGUCAAGAGAGCAGCACCCACGGGAACUGUUAUAAUUUAUUUUCUCCUCUCUUGACAAUGUUUGCUGCCUUUACUCCAUGCCAUUUCUCAUUAAAAGGCGCAAAACCAAGUUUGAAAUUCAGACUAUGGAGCUUAACUGCCCUGAGGCUAUAAAAAUAUAUUCCUUAUAAAGAUCUUGUGCAUGUUACUGACAAGUACAGUAGUCCUGAGGGGAUGCUGCUCACAGACAGGAAAAUCUAAUACCGAGAAGCGCUUUUCAUUUUGCACAACAAAAAAACAUGCAGCAAAUUUUUUUGCCAGGGCGAGCUAUUCAGAUGGAGCAGGGAUGGGGCUGGACAAGUCGCAUGACUCAAAGAUGUGGGUUUAGAUCCAAGUUCAGCAGUCCUCAGAUCUUGCAAGUUCUGCUGAAGAUUUGACUCCAGUUCACAAGGGCUAGUGGCGACUGUCAUACCCUUAGUUAACGGAGUCAAAAAGGCUUUCAGCUCAGGUUGUCAGAUGUGCUGCUGUCUCAGGAAGGCAGCAUGGGAUCAGAAGCUGAGUUUGGGCUCAGAACAGCCCUGCCAACAGCUCCGUGGAGGUGCGAGCAGGACAAUGCCUCCCUGUCUGGAGGCAACGUGGGCCAGUCUGGUGUGGAGGAGAAGAGGCAUACUGGUUCUCUCCCUGCUUGCCACAGAGCAGAGUGCUGGCAGUCCUGCUGGCGGGGGACCUUCUCCCAAAGUGCCUGGGACAGAGUCUGCCCUAUCCUCAUGGAAAGCCCUGUUGCUUGUGGGGUGAGAUAGGGUUUUUCUCAUAUGCCCCAGGCAUGACAACACUUGCGUUAUUUGAUGUGACAGCAGAUGAGCUGAUGUGACAGUCAGGUUUUUGCUCCGUGGGGUCACAACUGAGUGGUGUUUCAUGCCUAUCUGAUCCUAUCUUCCUGAUCCUGAUCAGCAGGAGGGAAGAGAUGGCACAGAUGUCCCUGCACAGAUGUGCUGGGCUACAGAGAACCUCCUGCUUCUGAAGGUGACUUGGCAGCUUCUAUUCCGGGUAUCAAGGUGUUUGCUGUAGCAGAGCUGCCCUGCUAUUCCUUUUAGUGUCCCCUAUUUUCAGAGCCCCAAGUCUCAUUCCUGGGAUGAAGUGAUAGACAGGUAAACCUUGGUGUGAUGCUUAUUUCCAGGAGAUCAUCCCUGACUGCUGCUUGUAGAGCGGUCAGUGGAUGGAGGCAUUGUGGUAGGGCUGUGAACAAAGAUGCAGGUGGGUUCCUGGGAACGGAAGCUGGGAAGGGGCCAGUACACAGUCCUCUCAGAGAGCAUCGGCAGUGGUCCUAUGUUGAGGUCCUGUUGAAAUCGGAAGGAGGGCGGUGUGGGGCUGACAUGUGCAUUGGUUUUGUUCCUCUAAACACUUAAUCCUGGCACUAUACAGAAAUUGGUAGGAGCUCAGCCUGGAUAGUGCUGAGCCCAGUGCUGCACUGCAUCCUCGAUCUGUGGCAUAGUCAUGAGGGAGUUACUGGCAUUUGGCAGGGGGCAGAUAUCGUGCUGAGUCCUCAAAAGCUUUGGCAGUCUUCUAGGGUCUUCCUGUGUCUGGAGAGGGUUGAAAAAGAGGGAGAUGCACCAGCCCACAAGUAGCCAUGGACAAAUACUCCUUUCCCUCAGCCAAGGCCUGUGGUGAGGACAUGGGGAUAGGAAUGCUUCAAACCCAGAUGCCCAGCACCUUUCCUGAGUGAGGGGCUCACUCAGUGUGCCUCGUUGGUUGGUCCUGGCAAUGUACUCCCAGAUGGACACUCACUGUGGCAGCCAUGGCCUCUGCUGCAGGUCCCUCAACUGCACUGUUCCCGAAAUGUGAUGGGCCAUCAUCACCUAGAGACAUCCACUUGCUCCCCAGAUUUGUACAACAGGAGGGAAUAACCUGCUGGUUGGCCUUGGCUGCAUAGUGAGAAUGGAGUUUGCUUGGCCUCCCCCUGCCUCCCAUUUGCUCUGGAGAGAUCUUUUCCCCUGGGAAAUUAUUGGCACAAGCAAGAGGCUUUGCCUGUGCUGCUCUUGCUGGAGGGAACUUUGCUGCAUGUCCCUGGGGUUGCAGAGACCCCUGUCCUUACUGCAGGCUGGGGCUGGGCUGCUGAGCACACCGUCACUAUGGCUGAAGGAGGGAGGAUGGGGGGUCCAGCUGAAGUUGGUGCUUCAUGUCUGGGGUAAGAUUUGCGAGGAAAUUUUGUCCUAUCUGGGACAAGGAAAACGUCUGCCGCGUCAAUAAAGCUCUUGCUGCACAGAGCAACCAUUUCACACAAGCUCUCAUGGAUAAGUGUGUGUUGCAUAGUUGUGAAAAGUUCCCUUUCUCUGUCCAAGAUGUGUACAGGUGCAUAUGGACUGUGUGCUUCAGCCAUUCAUUACGUAUGUGCCUCACCCUAGGACUACAUAGGUGCAUAGGAGAACAUAGAUGCCCAUGCAGCAUAUUUGAGUUGGGAGACAGACUGGGCUCUGUUUGCUGUUAAUCUUUCCAGAAGGUAGAAUUGCUUGUCCUGAGUGUUGUGAACCGCAGGACGUACAAUGUGUCCCUGCUUCUCUCUCCUACAGUGUAAUUACAGCCAAAUUCCACCACCGUUCCAAUCACGGUGUCAGAAGAGAAGUGUUUUUACAGUCAGCUCAGGCAAAUGAGUGUUUUAUCUCUCAGCUUCUUAUCAGCAGGGUCUGUAAUUCACCUGGAACAUAUUCCUGUGUGCUGAUUCACUGCCAGUGACGGGAACACAUUUGUGUCUCCUUGUCGGGCUGCUGUUUGUAAGAGCUGGGAUGAGGGGCAGCAGCAGCAGAAGAGAUGGUGGCUAGAUAAAUUAAUCUACAUAGCUGGCCGGAGGGCUGAGUGGGUUGACAAGCAGAGGGAGAGAUAGAUGGGAAGGUUGAAAGCUUGACUGGAUGAGAGGCAAAAUGAUGUAAUUAUUUGCUGAGUGGCUAGAUAGGUGCAAAUGGACAUAAGCAAGAACUAGGUUAAGCAGCUGGUAAAAAUGGAAGGAUUGUGGCUCACAUACACCUGGCUGCUAAAAUGAUUUGUAAUUCAAGAGGAAACAUGAACUGCAAAACACUGGGCCCAGAGUGGGAGGUGCUCCAUGGCUUUCGGACACCAAGAUCACUCAACAUCUUGCUGGAUCUCCCCGUUGGAUCUCACCAAGGCUGUGGUGAGAGCAGGGAAGCUGAUGGCCCUGCUAGGCACAUCUGCAGCACGAGAGGACAAAUGGGGGUUGUGGGAGAGCCAUGCUAUGCAUGCAUCCCCUGCAAGCCUGGCAUGAUGGAGCCUGGCUAUGGUGGGAUCCCGCAGGUCCUGCAAACCUCAGGCACAACUCUGGAGGCACUGACAUCCUGCGUGGUUCCUCCUGCUCCUCUCGUGAGCAGAGCUGUGUGGGCAAGAUGAGCCUCCAAGCUGACUGGGAGGACGAUGCUCAUUUUUCUCUCCCCUUGCUGCCGACCUGCUGCUAGCCAGUCUCCUCGCAUCACCCUUGUGUCAUCCUUCUUCCCUGUUAAACUUUGGGAAAGGGACUUUGUCUUGCUGGGCACUCCCAGGAGAGUGGGCUGUAUUUUCAGUAGCUGUGAUUGCUGGGCAUAAUGAAGUGCAAGACAAGUGAGAGCAAUUUCUCCUUUCUUAAUUAGUUCCCCAGGCUCUGUGCACUCGAUGAUGCAGCUCAGCUUAUCAGCAUGAUGAGCCCUGUGCUGGAUUCAGAGAUCUGGGGCUCUGAUCCCACAUAGGGAGGCAGGCCACAGGAGAAGGAGACAGGGAGGGAAUGUGAGCAGUGUGCUGGCUUUGAGAAGGCCUGGGGGAAGUCUCACUCACAACCGUGGAUGAGAGGCCAGGGGAGCCACUCACUCUCAGGGGAUCUGCCAGGCAGAGGGUGUUUCUAGCCCUAAGCUCCAGAGACCCUGGGUGGUCAGACAGUGGGCCCUGCUCUUCUGCAGACUGCAUUACACCAGCUCCUGCAGGUCCCAUCACUGGGGCUGACCUUGAGCUUUUCUCUUAGCCUUUGACCUGAGUGUGAACAUUUCCUCUGUUGGAGUAGAAGAUUUGCUGCCAAUCAAUUCUUAUGACUAGAAUCCUGCCUGGUAAAAGACAUGCACUCCUCGGCUCUGGUCUGAGUGUGUCCAGUGUGUUCCAACUAGUCCAUUUCUAGAUGGGUCUGAGACCCCAGGCUGGAAAUGGGGCUUCUCUGCCUAGCAUAAUGAGGUGAUAUUCAGCAAGGCUGAAAUGCCAAAGGCUUGCCUUUUCCCAGCCUACCAAGCAAGCUGGUUGAUGAAGGCUCUCACCUCACUAGCAGUACUCACUCAGCAAUGAUCCUCCAUUUCUAGCUACCGUCUGUGGCACAGUCAUUUUAACAGAGUUUUGACCCACUUAGUGUGCAUUAUUCUGAUUGUAUAUUGUUCUGGUGUGUUAAUCAAGCAUUCAGGGAUGGUCUGGUAGACAGUGCCAAUCAAGUGAUGUUAUAGAAAAUAGCUCUCAUCAAAGUCACUUGAUAUUUUUCAAUGCAACUGGAUAUUUGAUGCAAGAAGACAUCUGUAAAAGCUCUGUCCUGCCAUCAUGUGACAUAUUAAUUAAUGAACUCUACUUCAGCUUUCCCAUUAUUUUCCUGAGGUGACUUCAAAUUGACAGCUGUAUAGUUACCUGUGUUGUCCUGUUUCCUUUUGCGAAUCUCUAUGCCAGUCUUUAGAGCUUCCCAAGAACUUGAGGGGUUACUGAAAGCCAGUAUUAGCUGGCCUGGGAGUGCCUUGGUAACUUUGAUGCAAGAUUUCUGGGUCUGCUGAUUUAAAUCUGUCUGUUUCUGGGGUUUCUAUUUAUUGCCAUCUUUCAUUACUGCUGGAGAGUAUUUCAGUACACUGGGAUAUGAACACAGUACUUGCAGUUGCCAAGAGGGAACAGAAGUAUUCAUUAACUCUUCUGUCCUGUCUACACUUGCAUUGCAGCUCCCUGAGGUACUUCUGCUGGUUAUAGAAAUCUCCUUCCUUCCCUUACCAGUAAUUUUCUGUGCUUCCUAGCGUCUAGCUUGUAAGUUAUAUUCAUUGCCUUUACUUUUUCCUUUUGUUAUUUAUUAUAUAUUGGUUGGGAAGAGGUUCUUUCUUAACUGCUUUCAUUUUUGCUCCUAUGCAUGACUUGUUUUUAUAUCUCUAACUACAUUUAACUUUUUUCCUGCUGGAUUGUAAAAAAAAUAUCCUCAGCUCACGGGUCCAUCAGCCAGCACAAUUGCCAGAUAUUCUACGACUCUUGAUCUGUCAAGCUGAAGUGCGAUAUAUAGUUUUCUCAUGGUGCAUCCAGUGCUUCAAGUUAGGAAACUGUCUUUACUGGCUCUUAGAAAAUUCAGGGACGUUUGACUGCUGGCAGGAAGAGCACGUUAGUGUCACCUCUCCGGGUAGAAAUUUCCUGUGAUGCAGCAGCUGUUUUGUGUGUUGGCAAGAUGGGGAGAUUUCUAGUUGCAUUUAUUAAAAACUACUCAAGACUCUUCUGUUCACUCUGCUUUGAGUUAAUCUGAGGAAAAGACAUCUCAGAAGACAUGCUUCUGCCAGCAAAGUCCCUCCCAUGCAAGUGGAGAUGAGAUGCUGGAGAGCUGCAACAUCACCCCUGUUUUCUCCUGGGAUAAGUGAUAGCCCUGAGAGCUGCUCCUGGGUGUUUUUAGCGUUCAUUGUCCCUGGGACUGGGUGAGGACCAGAUGCUGAGCAGUCUCUUUCCAGUCUUGCUUGCAGAAGCCCUCCCUGCAUGUUGAUUUGCUUGUUCCCAAGCUGGCACACCAGCACCGGGUGUCCACCCAUGUCCUCAUCCUAGAUUCCUACGAGGCUCUCAGCAAGCACCAGCUGCCAGGUCCUGGGUGCAUUAAUGGGCUGUGGUUGCCCUGGCCAGCCUCACCUAGGCCUCCUACAGGCCCAGUGCUCAGGUUCUCCAUUUAAGGUCAGCCUGGGCCCUCAAACCUGGAUACCCUUCUGCAGUUUGCAGAAAGGUCAAAGCACUGACAGGCAAUGAUGAGCUGCAGGAGAUGCAGUGGGAGAGUCUUCAGCCCGGUCUGCUCUGAGGGCAGGGGUUUGUGCUUAUGUAUUCCUGUGCUGCAUAUUCUCCUCAGAUUCUGCUGCUCUAAUCUAUGAGGUCUCUCCAUCAUUGUCAAGUGUCUUCCAUUUCUGGUUUUUGGACAAGAGCAAUUGAUGAGAAAAUGUGGCUUAAGCACAGGAUGAAGUAAUUUUAUUAAAGAAGAAUACUCCCUAAUGGAAAGUAUUUCACGUGUAUCAAAGCUCUUGGCGUAAAUUGAUUAUAAUGCAUCAGUCUGUCAGAUGGCACUAAACAAUUCGCAUUUAAAUGUCCCUUGAAACAUGCACCUUCCUCUGGGAGGGUCUGAUCCAGAAUCCAGCACAGCAAAAUGGAAACUAUGUCAUGGACUUCACCUGGAUCCUUUUAUUGAUGCAGUAGCACAAGCUGAUCUGAACUUUCAGGUAGCCGCAGUCCCGAAAAAAUGGAUAUCAGGGUUGUAGGGCUGAGAAAGCUGUUUGGACUCAGCCUUGCAGGGAUAGUUGUGACUGCAGGCCCCAGGAUGAGCCCUGAGCUUAACCAUUGCCGAUUUCCCAAGAAGUGGCACAUCCCACAUUAAGCUGUGGCUACCGUGGGGAAGAAGAGUGUGUGUGGGUUGAUGACGUUCACCCUUUGAGGCUCUUGGCUCCUUCUGCGCAGAAUCCCAGGCAGUGGCAGAAGAAAUGGGAAAGAUGAGACCCAGCCCUCACAAGAUUGUCUUGAUGUUACUGGAGACAAAGUUAAAACCAGUGACUGAAGAUUUCAGUGAGCUGCAGAGCAGGGCACCAAGCAGGUUGUCCUGCAGGCAAGGAACUGGGAAGCAGGUGUUGUAGUGCACUGGCAAUGCAGGAGCCAUGGCAGGGGUGCUGACCAUGGGGAGGGAGAGAGGAGGCUGGGCUGAGCAAGGUGCAUCAGGGACAAAGAUUUGCGACUCCAGCUCUGGCAGGAGUCUGCAGUUCUCUCCCCUGCAGCUGGCUGCCCUGGGAGCCGUGAAUCCUCAUGUUGGUCUCUCAGCCUCCUAAUCUCUCAGUGCCAGGACUUGGCUUGCUCCAAUGCCUUUGGACUGGCUCAGGGAGCUGCUGGCUGCAGUUCUUCUGGCAGUAACGUCAUGCCACAGUCACCCAUGUGUGCUUAUGGGCCUCCUGGGAGAUAGGAAAAGGAACAUGUAAGGAGGGAUGCCAGGACCCUGGGAUGCCAAUGGGCCAGGGGCAUUUAUCUGCAAACACUGAUGCAGGGAGCCUUCCCUUUUCCCAUGUGCCUGGUGCUGCCCCAGUCUGGUUUAUAAAACAGAAUAAUUGCAGUUGUGAAGUGCCUCCCUUUGUAACAGUGGCAAGGUCCAAUGACAAGAAGCAGAGUCCUAUCCUCCCCAUUGGUGUGUGGCAGGGCCAGCUCCCCAGCAGCAGAGCAAGGGUCCUGGCUGUUGCCUCCAGGUGCAAGCAGCCCCUAGGCACUGCACCCAGCAGAUCUCCCACUCCAGACCCCUCUCUGGAGGAGGCCAGCCCCUGGAAAGUGGGGUUCUCCCCCUCUCUGGAGGCCUGGAUAGCAGGCGUGGGAAUUGGGGAGAGGACAAACUGGUCCUCAAAUAGGCUGGGAGGUGGGAGUCAGUUUGCAAGUAACGUAAAAUCAGCUCUGCCAGAGCAUGGUUUCCUGCUAAACCUAGGCAGUUCCUCGAUGUGCUUGGCUGCACAGUUGUUACAGACAUUUAAUGAACAGUGAUUCUUCCAGAGCCUUUCGCUUCUUUUUUGACUUGAAGAAUUUUCCUCUGCUGAGGAGAAUAUUAGCUCUUUUCCACUGUUCUCUAGCCUUUAAUGCCUGUCUUGUGCUAUGCCACAGACGCCUCAGAGACUGCUGCUAUCUCAGUGCGCCCAUGGGGCAGUAAUUCCUGCUUUGCAGCCACUGCAGCCCCUCUGUCCAUCCAUCCAAGAGGGAAGCUGGUAGCAGACUCUCUUGAGUGGAUUUUUGCAUCUGUUCACAGGUCCCCUCUAAGCCUGGUGUUGUGUUCCUUCGCCUUGGUUCAUGACUUGGUGAUCUGGGAACAGUCUAUUUCCACUGACCCUUUCUGUCUACGUGGGAAGAAAAGAUAUGACUUUAACACAGGACUGCAUGGCAGUCAUGUGAGCCCUGAAGCUAAACUCAACUCAUCCACUGAGUAUAGUUUUGUAAAGAAAUUGCAUGUCUAUCCAGAGAUGUCUCAAACAGAAUGACAACCUGGUAACCUCCCAGCAGAACUUCUUUUCCCAUUGACUGAUGCCUUAUUCAUCCAACUGCAGUUACUGCCCUCUGAAAGUUGAAUGACCUCGGUCAGCAGGGAGGGAUGGACUUGGUGUAAGAGCAGAUGGAGCCACUUAUUUCUGCCUGGAUUGGUACUCACUACUCUGAAGGCAUCUGGAAGUGUAGUGACUCCUGUUCUAAAGCAUAGAUUGGAGUAUAUUAAUGCCAGUUUAUGCUGCAGGCUGCCUAAUCAUGACCUUUGUGUAGCCGGUAUAUUGGGAGGAUGAAGAAGCAAGUAUGGGAGAUGGAGCCCCCAUGAACGCAUCCCAGCCCCUGCAGAAGACAUGCUCCAUGCUCAGUGGAGAUGUUUGCCUGCUCGUGUGUCUCUUGACCCCAGCUGAAUUUGCUCAGAUUUGCAUCUCCUUCUUUACUGUGACACUUUUGCAUUUAUUAAGAGUGCUACCAGAUCCCUGCACAAGGACUUGCCACCCAGCUAAAUAAUGGUUCAUGUCUAUGCCAAUAUGCUUGAAUUAGUACUGGUCUUUGUCUGAUGUUAGGAGAGAGAGAGGUAUAAUUAAGGUAAUUAUGAGCAAUUCAGUACCAGGCAGGGAGAGCAAACUGUCUUUCAUAUAAGAGAAAAAUACAAUGUGUUAGUCUGCUCAAACCAUCACAAUGCAGAGCAAAAGUGGAGAUUUCCUGCCAGCCCGCUGUGGCCCAGAGGGCAACCAAUUCCCAGGAAGAAACCCCUGGAGACAGUGCUGUGCUGAUUGUGUCCCCAGGACAACUAAAACUUGUUCCUCUGCCUUUGAUGUGGGUGCUUUUCUGGGUACGUCCAGCCAGGGCCAAGCCCAGGGCCAGGGCCAUCUGAGAUCUCACCAUCUCACCACCUCCAGGCACAGGAGCUCCUGCUGGUAGAGCAGGUUGCCUUGGGCAGGAGCUGGGCUUGCUGUACCCUGCUUGUUCCCAACUCACUACGUGGAUGCUGAGGCUUUGGCUACAUGUCUCCCCUGCUCUUCCAUCCUGCCUGCCUUCACUGGGGCCUGGUCAGUUGGGGUGUCUGUGCCCACUGCUGUGCCCUCCCUUGUGUGGUGGGCACCGGGUUCAAGGCCCUUCUCCAAACUCCUGGUGCACCAUGUGCUGAUCUGUUAUAGCCAGAGGGAGGCCAUGAGCAUGAAUGCCUGAGCAUGUUCACUAGUGCACGACUUCUGCACCUGGCCUGGGGCAAGCGGGAGAGAGCUCCUUUCACUCCCCUCGCAGAGCAGGGCGACUCCUGGCUCUGCCACUGCUCAUUGCUGAAGCUGGGCAUGAAACAGGUGCUGUGCUCAUCUGUCUGUGUUCAUCUGUCUCACCAAAUGUCUAGGCAUUACUGUAGUACAUGCUAUUGGAUGGAGAUGAAUUUGUUCUGUCCAGCAGCAUAGAUUCAGGUGACAAAGAAGCCCAAGAAAAUUGUUCACUCUCUCUGCAGGUCAGGCAGAAAUUAGGUUUAUCAAGUUAUUUACAGUUUUAAGACAUCUGUAAAAAUUUGACAAAUGCAAUCUCUUUCCUAGCUCUUAUAGCUGCUACUGCUGCCUUCCAGGAAGCUGCAUGCCUCGGAGCCUGUCAGGAGCCCAUGGAAUAUCCUGCCCCAGAUAAUAACUGUGCCAGACACGGCCAGGGACCUUUUCUGCAGCAUCACACUGCCACUGAGGAGGGCACCCACCCAAAGAGAAAGCUGUAUAGAUGUAGAAAACAGCUUCUGAAGACAGAGGAGAGACAGGGCCUUCAGCUGAGGAGCCCAGUCCUCUUUACUGAAGAGCAUCUCCUCAGGACCUGAAAUUAAGCUGAUAGAACCACAGUUCCUUUCAUCCCUUCCUUGAAGGUCAGUGCAACACUUCUUUCUCCCAUUUCUCUGAAUAUCCUCAGGAGGAAUUACAGUAAGUCAAGCUGCUUGGAAAACAUUUCCCUUUUCAAGGUUUUUCCCAAGGUGUUCUUCCUUCUUUCAGCAUGGCUUUUCAUCUUAUAUCCACUGCUGCUAACAGGAUACAUCAGCCAAUAACAGUUGACAGUUCUACGAAACACAGAAAAUGAGGAAGACGUUAUUUCUGUCUCCUCAAAGUCAUGAUCAUCUUGCAGGGAGCUUUCCCUCCGUAAUAAGAAAUAACCUACUAUUUCCUUUGCCUUUUGGCUAUUUCAGCAUUGGCUUCUUCAGAUCGUGGUCACACUCCAUCCCAUACAUCCUGAUAGUUCAACCAUGUAGAUGUCAGCUCCUACUUUGGCUGUCUU